AUUGAACGCUGGCGGCAGGCCUAACACAUGCAAGUCGAACGAGUGGCGGACGGGUGAGUAAUGUCUGGGAAACUGCCUGAUGGAGGGGGAUAACUACUGGAAACGGUAGCUAAUACCGCAUACCAUCGGAUGUGCCCAGAUGGGAUUAGCUUGUAGGUGGGGUAAAGGCUCACCUGGGCGACGACCCCUAGCUGGUCUGAGAGGAUGACCAGCCACACUGGAACUGAGAAACGGUCCGGACUCCUACGGGAGGCGGCAGUGGGGAAUAGUGCACAAGGGGCGCAGGCCUGAUGCGGCCAUGCCGCGUGGAUGAAGAGGGCCUUCGGGUUGUAAAGUACUUUCAGCGGGGAGGCGUUACCCACAGAAGAAGCACCGGCUAACUCCGUGCCAGCAGCCGCGGUAAUAC
rnacentral:rRNA from 1 species